rnacentral:miRNA from 1 species
GCGAGAGUAAUUGGAGUUCAUGCAAGUUAACCAGCUUACUCAGUAGCUGGGUGAAUUGCAGUACUCCAACAUUCUGC